rnacentral:rRNA from 1 species
GAUGAACGCUGGCGGCGUGCCUAACACAUGCAAGUCGAACGGAGAUUACGGACGGAAGUUUUCGGAUGGAAGACUGUAAUUCUUAGUGGCGGACGGGUGAGUAACGCGUGGGCAACCUGCCCUAUACAGGGGGAUAGCAGCUGGAAACGGCUGGUAAGACCGCAUAAGUCGGUUAAAUCGCAUGAUUUGAUCGGGAAAUGAGCAAUCAGGUAUAGGAUGGGCCCGCGUCCGAUUAGCCAGUUGGCAGGGUAAAAGCCUACCAAAGCGACGAUCGGUAGCCGGACUGAGAGGUCGGACGGCCACAUUGGGACUGAGACACGGCCCAAACUCCUACGGGAGGCAGCAGUGGGGGAUAUUGCACAAUGGAGGAAACUCUGAUGCAGCGACGCCGCGCGAGUGAAGAAGUAUUUCGGUAUGUAAAGCUCUAUCAGCAGGGAAGAUGAUGACGGUACCUGACUAAGAAGCCCCGGCUAACUACGUG